rnacentral:rRNA from 1 species
AGAGUUUGAUCCUGGCUCAGAACGAACGCUGGCGGCGCGUUUUACGCAUGCAAGUCGAGCGGUUGGGGGGCUUCAGUCCCCCGAGAGCGGCGGACGGGUGAGUAGCACGUGGACAACCUGCCCCCCGGUUCGGGAUAGCCCAGGGAAACCUGGAUCAAUACCGGAUGCGAGGGCGGCCGCACAAGCGGCCGUCGGGAAAGGCGCUUCGGCGCCGCCGGGGGAUGGGUCCGCGUCCCAUUAGCUAGACGGUGGGGUAACGGCCCACCGUGGCGAUGAUGGGUAGCCGGCCUGAGAGGGUGGACGGCCACAUUGGAACUGAGACACGGUCCAGACUCCUACGGGAGGCAGCAGCUAAGAAUCUUCCGCAAUGGGCGAAAGCCUGACGGAGCGACGCCGCGUGAAAGAAGAAGGCCGUGAGGUUGUAAAGUUCCUUUUUCGGGAGGGGGAACGAGGCUUGCCAGGCAAUGGGCGGCCGAUGACGUGAAUCCCAGAAUAAAGCCCCGGCUAACUCCGCACCAGCAGCCGCGGUAACACGUAGGGGGCGAUCGUUGUUUGGAAUCAUUGAGGGUAAAGGGCGUGCAGGUGCCCGCCAAAGUCCGGCGUGAAAGACCCAGGCUCAACCUGGCGGGUGCACCGGAUACUGGGCGGCUCGAGUACAGGAGGGGACGGUGGAAUUCCAGGUGUAGGGGUGAAAUCUGUAGAUAUGAGCAGCAACACCGAUGGCGAAGGCAGCCGUCUGCCCAUGUACUGACGCUGAGGCGCGAAGGUGUGGGGCGCAAACAGGUUCAGAUACCGUGCUAGUCCGUCACAGUAAACGCAUGAGACGGGCAGGCAGGCGUGGGCACCCUCGCUGCCGCAGUCAACGCAAUAAGCUGCACCGCCUGGGGAGUAUGCCCGCAAGGGUGAAACUCAAAGGAAUUGACGGGGCCCCGCACAAGCGGUGGAGCAUGUGUUUUAAUUCGAUGAUACGCGAGAAACCUUUCCAGGGCUUGUCAUGCGCCGGGAGUGCGUCGAAAGGCGCUCGCCCCUCGGGGCCGGCGCACAGGUGGCGCAUGGCUGUUGUCAGCUCGUUCUGUGAAGUGUUGGGUUAAGUCCCGCAACGAGCGCACCCCCUGCCGUCUGUUGCCACCACCUUGGGUGGGCACUCAGGCGGGACCGCCGGUGACAAACCGGAGGAAGGUGGGGACGACGUCAAGUCAUCAUGGUCCUUAUGUCCUGGGCUACACACGUGCUACAAUGGCCGGUACAGAGGGCAGCGAGGCCGCGAGGCCGAGCGAAUCGCCCAAAGCCGGUCCCAGUUCGGAUUGGAGUCUGCAACUCGCCUCCAUGAAGUUGGAAUCGCUAGUAAUCACGCAUCAGCAUGGCGUGGUGAAUUCGUUCCCGGGCCUUGCACACACCGCCCGUCA